ACCGGCCCGACCCGCGUCCGCUCGGCUGUACGGGCGCCCGGGAGCCGCCGCCGCCGGGCUCCCCACGGCAGCCACUAGGGGAGGAGGCAGCGCGCCUGCGCCGCUGCGGACCGCGGGGGCGCCGUGCUGGGGGGGCCGCGCAGCCCGCCCCGGUGCAGCGGUUCCAGGCCGCGGCGGGGCCGCCGCAGCGCGCAGUGGCUAUGGAACAUGCUGCCACCGUCCUGCUCCAAAAUCCCUGAGCCUGAAGCCCCAGUGACAGAGGAUCCCUGUGCAGCUUGGAGGGGACUUGCCAAAACAAUUGCCUUCCCUCAGGCUAUAAGGGAAUGAUGUUAGUAGUACAGAGGAUGAUGCAUCUUUCCAUUUACAUCUGUAAAAACGCGCACAAGACUUCUAACUAAAACACAGCCUGAAGAAAGUUAAUGAGGUUGUUAAUAGUCUGCGUCACUAAUGAAAAGGCUAUAAAUGAUUCUGGUCUUUUCCUUCAGACCUUGAUGAAUCAGGACAGAACAUUGACUUUUCUAAAGGAACAGCAACUGUAAGUAAAAAAAUAGGAGAAAAAUCAAGAAUAAAAAAAAAAAAAGGAAAGCCGAUGACAAGAGCUACUACUGAUUGUGACCAUUCUCUUGUGAGCUGGAGGUUUCUUCCAUCUUAAUGGACAUUUUGACCAUCUCGUUAAUUAACUUUCUUUAGAAAGGUCAAACCUCUUUUUCUGCUCAAGGUCAUGCACUUCAAUAAGAAAUUUUUCAUCAGCUACAGUAGCAAUACAGCAAGAUAAAAUCCAGGGGGGUUGAUUAUGAGCACAUUACUUCACACCCCUUUGCCCUGUCCUCACUUUUCACUGACAGUUAAUGAUAUAAAGAAUUUGACGUGACCAAUGUGAAUAAUCACACAGGCUUAUGAAGAUGCGCAAUUAUGUAACAGCAAGCUCAUCCACUUCCAGUUUGGAGAUGGAUUUAGCUUCAAACAGAAAGAAAACGACAAUCCGAAAAUCCACAUGGACCUGUUAAUUGUGAAAAGCGCUCCAUGGAAAGUGAGCGUGCCACCUUUACAUUAAAAACCUUGUUUUCAAUAGCAAAAAUGCAUAGUGAAAUUUAAUUAUGCAGCUUAUUGCUUCUUAAAAAAUGACUGAACCUCUUGAUCGAUUGGGUCAAGAUUUACACAAGGCCUUGCGUAAAGCACAACUCAACUGGGAAUGACACUGCAGGAAUAUUUACAUCUUCAAAGUAUUCUUCAGGUUUCAGUGACAACAGAAGAGGAAAGAAAAGAAAACAGAGAGCAAUUUUUCAUUGAAUUAAUAAUCCUGCUCGAAAUAUUGAAGGAUCGCCCAGCAAACUGUGGUGACUUGCGAUAAGAAGUUGUGGGGUGAUAUAAAACUACCACUAUCCUGUUUUGGAAAUUUCUGUCCAAGUACUAAGAUCCAUUCCAUUUCAUGAAUUCUUCAUGCAAACUGCAUAAAAUACUUCUUUUUUUUAAAAAAAAAAAUGAGUGCUUUCCAUAACAGUAUUUUGGCAAAUUAAAUUAAAACAGGUUCCUAUGACAGUUUCUACAAAUAUUUCUAUUUUAGCCUUGUUUUGUAUUAUAAAUAUGUCAAGAUGAAGCCAUUUCUGUCAAAACAGACUUUUUUCCUCAUGGGAAAUUUUUCCAGGCAUUUUUUUAAACGCCUUAAUUUUCAGUACUCAUCGAAGUCAAGAUGAAGGUUAUUUCAAAUGCUCUUACAUCUGUGUAAUCCUAAACCCACGAGAGCAUAGCUUUAGUCUCAUAAAUGAACAACAUCGUUAGAUACAGUAUUGUUAAUUUAAUUGAUUUUGUUUACUGCGCUGUAUAACAAGUGAUUGAAAAAUAAAUGACAUUUAACAUUG